rnacentral:rRNA from 1 species
UACGUAGGGCGCAAGCGUUGUCCGGAAUUAUUGGGCGUAAAGAGCUCGUAGGCGGUUUGUCGCGUCUGCUGUGAAAACCUAAGGCUCAACCUUGGGCUUGCAGUGGGGUACGGGCAGACUAGAGUGCGGUAGGGGGUGACUGGAAUUCCUGGUGUAGCGGUGGAAUGCGCAGAUAUCAGGAGGAACACCGAUGGCGAAGGCAGGUCACUGGGCCGCAACUGACGCUGAGGAGCGAAAGCAUGGGGAGCGAACAGG